rnacentral:rRNA from 1 species
AUUGAACGCUGGCGGCAGGCUUAACACAUGCAAGUCGAACGAGUGGCGGACGGGUGAGUAAUGCUUGGGAAUCUAGCUUAUGGAGGGGGAUAACUACGGGAACCUGUAGCUAAUACCGCGUACCAUAGGAUGAGCCCAAGUGGGCUUAGGUAGUGGGUGAGGUAAAGGCUCACCAAGCCGACGAUCACUAGCUGGUCUGAGAGGGUGACCAGCCACACUGGGACGUAGACACGGCCCAGACUCCUACGGGAGGCAGCAGUGGGGAAUAUUGGGCAAUGGGGGCAACCUGACACAGCAACGCCGCGUGAGUGAAGAAGGCCUUCGGAUUGUAAAGUUCUUUCGGUAGCGAGGCGUUAACUACAGAAGAAUCACCGGCUAACUCCGUGCCAGCAGCCGCGGUAAUUC